rnacentral:tRNA from 1 species
GCCCGCUUGGCGCAGUGGUAGUCGCGUCUCACUUGUACCUCACAAGAAAAUGAGAAGGUCGCUCGUUCAAUCCGGGCAGUGGGCA